rnacentral:rRNA from 1 species
UACGGGAGGCAGCAGUGGGGAAUAUUGCACAAUGGGCGCAAGCCUGAUGCAGCCAUGCCGCGUGUAUGAAGAAGGCCUUCGGGUUGUAAAGUACUUUCAGUCGUGAGGAAGGUGUUAAGGUUAAUAACCUUAGCAAUUGACGUUAGCGACAGAAGAAGCACCGGCUAACUCCGUGCCAGCAGCCGCGGUAAUACGGAGGGUGCGAGCGUUAAUCGGAAUUACUGGGCGUAAAGGGCACGCAGGCGGUUAAUUAAGUUGGAUGUGAAAUCCCCGGGCUUAACCUGGGAAUGGCAUUCAAGACUGGUUAGCUAGAGUCUUGUAGAGGGGGUAGAAUUCCAUGUGUAGCGGUGAAAUGCGUAGAGAUGUGGAGGAAUACCGGUGGCGAAGGCGGCCCCUGGACAAGACUGACGCUCAUGUGCGAAAGCGUGGGGAGCAAACGAGGAUUAGAUACC